CUCACAUAUGUUUUUUGCUGUUGAUCCAAAAGAAGACAAAAAAACCCAGUCUUCCAAUUUUGAAACACACUAGGAAAGAAUUCCUUCUUGACCCUAAAAAUAGCAGUCUGAUGUCUCCUUGGAUCAAACAGUAAUAGCUAAUUGGAAAUUAUAUCCCUGUAUGUUAUGAUAUUGCAAGUAUCUGUCCAAUUGCAGUUUAAAUAUCUCUACGGACUCUGAUACCACCUCC